UUUACGAGGUUAUGCUCCGAGGGGAUUCAUCACACAUGGAAUAUGUUUGUCUGGGGCAUGUGUUCCACUAUCUCAUGAUUUAACUAAAUUAUGAUUCAUCAGAGCAGUAAACCCAAUAGAAAUAGAAAUAGUCAAGUGGGAGAGUUACGUAAAGGAGAGCACGAAAAUUGAUGCAUAAAAGUGUUUGGGUGUCAAAAUUUUAUUUUCUUCUCAGGCUUUCCAUGCUUUUCUGGGAUUUGCAUUGCAAUGUCAAUAUGCUGAGGGACUUCUAACUAGCAGUAUCGGUAAGCAGUAGCCGUCUCUAUCGCAUCGAUGGCCCAGUCUCUGUACUUUUUCCAUGACAUUAGGAUUUUAUCUCAUAUACAUUAACGAAUUGGUCAGCUACAAAAACGAGUCCUAGUAAGUUUCUAAGAGGCAAUAUAUGGAGCAAAGGAGUUACUUUUACCCUUCAGACAUUUUAUAGCUAAAAAAGAGAAAAACAGAGCAACUUGUUGAUAUGAGUGUUGAUGGGAAAAGAAGAUGGGACAAUCUUAAUGCUAUCGCUUGGAAGGGAGGAGUAGAAUUAGAAGCAGCAGAAGUCAAAGUCAAGAUGUAGACCAGAAACAAUUAUUGUUGAUCCCUGUCUUCAUUUGAGGCAUUUCCUUUCCGUCUCUGCUGCUGCUAGACGGUAAGCUUCAGCAGUGAAACUGGGAUAAGGAAAGAGAUGGGAAUUUGUUGGGGGGAUCCUCGCUUCCCGACUCCGAGUCACACUGGUUCUCUCAACUCAGGGAUGAAGCUGACAAUCAGCAGUUCAUCAUCCUCUGAGCAAAGUGCCGGUCCGAACAGCAAUGAGCCCUUCCCUGAUGGAAUGAUUUUUCUGGAGACGAAUCUGAGGAACUUCACUCUUGCAGAACUGAAGGCUGCAACAGGGAAUUUCGGAAGCGACUCGUUGCUCGGAGAAGGAGGCUUUGGCCAAGUCUUCAAAGGCCUGCUAGACGAGAAGGCACCUUUGGGAAGGAGAAAGACAGUCAUUGCUGUAAAAAAACUCAAUGAGGAAAGUUUUCACGGAUAUAAAGAAUGGAAGUCAGAGAUCGAGUUUCUUGGAAGGCUAUAUCAUCCUAACCUUGCAACGCUGCUUGGAUACUGUCAUGAGAAUUCCAAGAUGUUACUCGUAUAUGACUUUGCACCAAAGGGAAGCUUGAACAACCACCUCUUUGGAAGGGGCUCAGUUGUUCAUCCUCUUCCAUGGAGUUUAAGGCUUAAGAUUGCGAUUGGAGCUGCACGAGGUCUGGCUUUCUUGCACUCUUUCGAGAGGGCAAUUAUCUACCGAGACCUAAAGACAUCGAAUAUUUUGCUGGACGCGUCUCAUGUUGCCAAACUCUCGGAUUUUGGGCUGGCAAGGCUUGGUCCUAAAGAUGGCGAGACACAUGUUUCGACAAGGAUUAUGGGGACAUAUGGCUAUGCCGCCCCGGAAUAUGUAGCAACCGGACAUCUUUAUAUUGAGAGUGAUGUGUACUCUUACGGUGUCGUGUUGCUUGAGCUGCUAACAGGCCUGAAGGCAGUAGAUCGUGACCGUCCAAAAGAUAAACAUAAGCUAGUGGAGUGGGCCAAGCCACGCUUACAGCAUGAAAGAAAAGUUGUAUCCAUGAUGGACCCUAAACUAGGAGGGAAAUAUCCUCCAGGGGCUGCCCUGGAAAUUGGUAAGCUUGCAUUGAGAUGUCUCAAAAAUGGUCCGAAACUACGACCUUCCAUGGCUGAGGUUGUGAAAUCAAUGGAAGAGAUCGAAGCUGGUGCCAAAGGAACAAGGGAUCCGUAAAUCAGCUUUAUGCACUGGAUAUUCGGAUAUUCACAGCACAUAUGUAUGUUGCAGGCAGUGCUAUGCCAAGAAGGAUCAAUUCUGGGUCUCUCAAGGACAUCUUCAUGUUAAGAGUGAUGUCUACUCUUACGGUGUUGUGUUGCUUGAGCUGCUAACCGGCCAAAUGAUACUAAAUCCAAGACGUCGCAAAGAUAAAAGCGAUCUAGUGAAAUGGGCCAAGCCACUCUUACAGCAUAAAAGAAAAGUUGUAUCUAUGAUGGACAAAACUACGAGGGAAAUGUCCUCCAAACUGCUCCGAAACCCUGGCCUUCCAUGGAGGAGGUUGUGAAGUCACUGGAAGGGAUCGAAGCCGCUGCCAAAGGAACAAGGGAUCGAUGAAUCAGCUUUAUGCAUGCCACGGUCAAUAUGAACACCCUGCAAGCCCAUGAGACGGGAAGUCCGGCCACAAGCCUUGCAAGUGGUGGUUCAAUAAAGAGUAUUUUCUUGCAUGACGUUUGUGACGUGAUUUGAACCUGAGACUUUCCAUUGAUAGUCACACCCUUUGACCAACAGGCCAGCUAAUGCUCUUGGGUUAAUUGCUAUGCAUAUUGCUUACAGUUGAACAUAAAACCAUGUUGGUCUUCGGCAGUAUAUACGGUCCUCUUACAACUCACCAUUGUUUGGGUUUAAUGAAGGUUUAUGAGCAUUAUCGA